rnacentral:rRNA from 1 species
AUUGAACGCUGGCGGCAGGCCUAACACAUGCAAGUCGAACGAGCGGCGGACGGGUGAGUAAUGUCUGGGAAACUGCCCGAUGGAGGGGGAUAACUACUGGAAACGGUAGCUAAUACCGCAUACUAUCGGAUGUGCCCAUAUGGGAUUAGCUUGUAGGUGAGGUAACGGCUCACCUAGGCGACGAUCCCUAGCUGGUCUGAGAGGAUGAUCAGCCACACUGGGACUGAGACACGGCCCAGACUCCUACGGGAGGCAGCAGUGGGGAAUAUUGCACAAGGGGCGCAAGCCUGAUGCAGCAAUGCCGCGUGUAUGAAGAAGGCCUUAGGGUUGUAAAGUACUUUCAGUGGGGAGGCGUUACCCACAGAAGAAGCACCGGCUAACUCCGUGCCAGCAGCCGCGGUAAUAC